rnacentral:rRNA from 1 species
AUUGAACGCUGGCGGCAUGCCUUACACAUGCAAGUCGAACGGUAACAGAUCUUCGGAUGCUGACGAGUGGCGAACGGGUGAGUAAUACAUCGGAACGUGCCUAGUAGUGGGGGAUAACUACUCGAAAGAGUGGCUAAUACCGCAUGAGAUCUACGGAUGAAAGCAGGGGAUCGCAAGACCUUGUGCUACUAGAGCGGCCGAUGGCAGAUUAGGUGGUUGGUGGGAUAAAAGCUUACCAAGCCGACGAUCUGUAGCUGGUCGGAGAGGACGAUCAGCCACACGGGGACUGAGACACGGCCCAGACUCCUACGGGAGGCAGCAGUGGGGAAUUUUGGACAAUGGGCGCAAGCCUGAUCCAGCAAUGCCGCGUGCAGGAUGAAGGCCUUCGGGUUGUAAACUGCUUUUGUACGGAACGAAAAGCCCUGGGUUAAUACCCUGGGGUCAUGACGGUACCGUAAGAAUAAGCACCGGCUAACUACGUGCCAGCCGCCGCCGUAACAC